AAGAUUAAGCCAUGCAUGUCUCAGUGCAAGCCGAAUUAAGGUGAAACCGCGAAUGGCUCAUUAAAUCAGUUAUGGUUCCUUAGAUGGUGCACAGUUACUUGGAUAACUGUGGUAAUUCUAGAGCUAAUACAUGCAACUCGGUCCCGACCGGCGACGGAAGGGACGCUUUUAUUAGAUCAAAACCAAUCGGUCUUCGGGCCGUUUGCCUUGGUGACUCUGAAUAAAUUGUGGCAGAUCGCACGGCCCCCGAGCCGGCGACGCAUCUUUCAAAUGUCUGCCUUAUCAACUGUCGAUGGUAGGUUCUGCGCCUACCAUGGUUGUAACGGGUAACGGGGAAUCAGGGUUCGAUUCCGGAGAGGGAGCCUGAGAAACGGCUACCACAUCCAAGGAAGGCAGCAGGCGCGCAAAUUACCCACUCCCGGCACGGGGAGGUAGUGACGAAAAAUAACGAUACGGGACUCAUCCGAGGCCCCGUAAUCGGAAUGAGUACACUUUAAAUCCUUUAACGAGUAUCCAUUGGAGGGCAAGUCUGGUGCCAGCAGCCGCGGUAAUUCCAGCUCCAAUAGCGUAUAUUAAAGUUGUUGCGGUUAAAAAGCUCGUAGUCGGACUUGUGUCCCACGCUGCCGGUUCACCGCCCGUCGGUGUCUAACUGGCAUGCACGUGCGGACGUCCUGCCGGUGGCCCGAGCCGGCGCGGGUCUCGUACCCGUCGUCCGGGGAAGGCCUAUCAUACCCGUCGCGGUGCUCUUAACCGAGUGUCUCGAUGGGCCGGCACGUUUACUUUGAACAAAUUAGAGUGCUUAAAGCAGGCAGCAUCCGCCUGAAUACCGAGUGCAUGGAAUAAUGGAAUAGGACCUCGGUUCUAUUUUGUUGGUUUUCGGAAUCCCCGAGGUAAUGAUCAAUAGGGACAGACGGGGCAUUCGUAUUGCGACGUUAGGUGAAAUUCUUGGAUCGUCACAGGACGGACCGAAGCGAAAGCAUUUGCCAAGAAUGUUUUCUCUGAUCAAGAACGAAAGUUAGAGGUUCGAAGGCGAUCAGAUACCGCCCUAGUUCUAACCAUACACAAUGCCAGCCAGCAAUCCGCCAAAUUUCCUCCGAUGACUCCGCGGGCGGCUUCCGGGAAACCAAACCUUUUGGGUUCCGGGGGAAGUAUGGUUGCAAAGCUGA
rnacentral:rRNA from 1 species